rnacentral:rRNA from 1 species
UACGAAGGUCCCAAGCGUUAUCCGGAUUUAUUGGGUUUAAAGGGUGCGUAGGCGGAUUAUUAAGUCAGUGGUGAAAGCCCCAGGCCCAACCUGGGAAUUGCCAUUGAUACUGAUGAUCUUGAGUAUAUUUGAGGUAGGCGGAAUGUGUCAUGUAGCGGUGAAAUGCUUAGAUAUGACACAGAACACCAAUUGCGUAGGCAGCUUACUAAACUGUAACUGACGCUGAGGCACGAAAGCGUGGGGAGCAAACAGG